rnacentral:misc_RNA from 1 species
GUGAAUCAUCGAAUUUUUGAACGCAUAUUGCACUCUCUGUAUUCCGGAGAGUAUGCCUAUUUGAGGGUCAUUUGAAAUAAUAUAAAUUCCAAGAUUUCUCGGAAUUUAAAAUGGGUUGUCCAUUUUUUGUGGUCGCCUAAAAUCCAAGACAAGCUCAUUUUCUUGGGUUGCGUGAUACUUUCAGUUACCUCGUGACUUAACCAGGAAUCAUCGGGCGUGUUAUGAAUUGUGCAAGAAAUAAACUUCAUUUAUCUCGAGCUCAAUAUUAAAUUGAAUCAUGACCUCAAAUUAGGUAGGGGUA